AACGAUGAAGAGUUUGAUCCUGGCUCAGGAUGAACGCUAGCGGCAGGCUUAACACAUGCAAGUCGAGGGGUAACAUAGAAAAGCUUGCUUUUCUGAUGACGACCGGCGCACGGGUGCGUAACGCGUAUACAAUCUGCCUUAUACUGGGGUAUAGCCUUUAGAAAUGAAGAUUAACCCCCCAUAGUCUCUUUAAAUGGCAUCAUUUUAAGAGUAAAGGUUACGGUAUAAGAUGAGUAUGCGUUCUAUUAGUUUGUUGGUGAGGUAAUGGCUCACCAAGACUGCGAUAGAUAGGGGCCCUGAGAGGGGGAUCCCCCACACUGGUACUGAGACACGGACCAGACUCCUACGGGAGGCAGCAGUGAGGAAUAUUGG
rnacentral:rRNA from 1 species